rnacentral:rRNA from 1 species
UGGGGAAUAUUGCACAAUGGGGGAAACCCUGAUGCAGCCAUGCCGCGUGUAUGAAGAAGGCCUUCGGGUUGUAAAGUACUUUCAGUUGUGAGGAAGGCAGUUAAGUUAAUAGCUUAGGUGUUUGACGUUAGCAACAGAAGAAGCACCGGCUAACUCCGUGCCAGCAGCCGCGGUAAUACGGAGGGUGCGAGCGUUAAUCGGAAUUACUGGGCGUAAAGCGCAUGCAGGCGGUCUGUUAAGCAAGAUGUGAAAGCCCGGGGCUCAACCUCGGAACAGCAUUUUGAACUGGCAGACUAGAGUCUUGUAGAGGGGGGUAGAAUUUCAGGUGUAGCGGUGAAAUGCGUAGAGAUCUGAAGGAAUACCGGUGGCGAAGGCGGCCCCCUGGACAAAGACUGACGCUCAGAUGCGAAAGCGUGGGGAGCAAACAGG